rnacentral:tRNA from 1 species
GGGAGUUAGCCAACGGAUAGGCAAAAGGUCUCCAAAACCUUUCAAAAGUCAGUUCGACUCUGACAACUCCUGC